rnacentral:rRNA from 1 species
AAUAGAUACCCAGGUAGUCCACGCCGUAAACGAUGGAUACUAGCUGUUUGGGCGUAAGCUUGAGUGGCUAAGCGAAAGUGAUAAGUAUCCCACCUGGGGAGUACGGGCGCAAGCCUGAAACUCAAAGGAAUUGACGGGGGCCCGCACAAGCGGUGGAGCAUGUGGUUUAAUUCGAUGAUACGCGAGGAACCUUACCAGGGCUUAAAUGUGUUUUGACCGAUCUGGAAACAGAUCUUUCGCAAGACAAAAUACAAGGUGCUGCAUGGUUGUCGUCAGCUCGUACCGUGAGGUGUCAGGUUAAGUCCUAUAACGAGCGCAACCCCUGUUGUUAGUUGCCAGCGAGUCAUGUCGGGAACUCUAGCAAGACUGCCAGUGUAAACUGUGAGGAAGGUGGGGAUGACGUCAAAUCAUCACGGCCCUUACGUCCUGGGCCACACACGUGCUACAAUGGACGGUACAGAGAGCAGCUACCAAGUGAUUGGAUGCGAAUCUAUAAAACCGUUCUCAGUUCGGAUCGGAGU